rnacentral:misc_RNA from 1 species
AAAAAAAAAAAAAAAAAUACUAGCCUCACGCAAGUAGGAUUUAGGAUUUACUUCUAUAGCACACUUUCUAAGGUUAGAAUUGCAUCUCACAACCCAAAUUAAAAGCAUAAAUUGCUGGGAUUUUAAUGAAUGAAAUACCAUUACAAUCAUUGUUAUUUAUAGACACAAAAGUAAUCCUAAACAUUUACUUGGGCUCCAACUCCAUAUGGAGCUUGAACUUCUAAGUGAAGACAGCUCCUUCAUUUAAUACCAAUUCCAUAUUAUUAUUAUUUUUUAAAUGUUGCAGUAGAGUAACAAUGUGACUCAGCUAGGAAUUAGGAUUGUUAACAUCUUUCACUAUCCAAUCUAUGAUAACGGAAUCCUUUGUGUGCAUUUGAUGCA